GAUGAACGCUGGCGGCGUGCUUAACACAUGCAAGUCGAACGGUGAAAGCGGAGCUUGCUCUGCUGGAUCAGUGGCGAACGGGUGAGUAACACGUGAGCAAUCUGCCCUUGACUCUGGGAUAAGCGUUGGAAACGACGUCUAAUACCGGAUACGAGCUGCGAAGGCAUCUUCAGCAGCUGGAAAGAACUUCGGUCAAGGAUGAGCUCGCGGCCUAUCAGCUAGUUGGGGAGGUAACGGCUCACCAAGGCGUCGACGGGGAGCCGGCCUGAGAGGGUGACCGGCCACACUGGGACUGAGACACGGCCCAGACUCCUACGGGAGGCAGCAGUGGGGAAUAUUGCACAAUGGGCGCAAGCCUGAUGCAGCAACGCCGCGUGAGGGACGACGGCCUUCGGGUUGUAAACCUCUUUUAGCAGGGAAGAAGCGAAAGUGACGGUACCUGCAGAAAAAGCACCGGCUAACUACGUGCCAGCCGCCGCCGUAAUAC
rnacentral:rRNA from 1 species